GGUUCGUUGGUCUAGCGGUAUGAUUCUCGCUUAGGGUAAUAACCUGAGUAACGCUCAAGGACAUCAGUCCGGACAGCAAAACAUGCGAGAGGUCCCGGGUUCAAUCCCCGGACGAACCC